GACGAACGCUGGCGGCGUGCCUAAUACAUGCAAGUUGAGCGCUGAAGGUUGGUACUUGUACCCACUGGAUGAGCAGCGAACGGGUGAGUAACGCGUGGGGAAUCUGCCUUUGAGCGGGGGACAACAUUUGGAAACGAAUGCUAAUACCGCAUAAAAACUUUAAACACAAGUUUUAAGUUUGAAAGAUGCAAUUGCAUCACUCAAAGAUGAUCCCGCGUUGUAUUAGCUAGUUGGUGAGGUAAAGGCUCACCAAGGCGAUGAUACAUAGCCGACCUGAGAGGGUGAUCGGCCACAUUGGGACUGAGACACGGCCCAAACUCCUACGGGAGGCAGCAGUAGGGAAUCUUCGGCAAUGGACGAAAGUCUGACCGAGCAACGCCGCGUGAGUGAAGAAGGUUUUCGGAUCGUAAAACUCUGUUGGUAGAGAAGAACGUUGGUGAGAGUGGAAAGCUCAUUAAGUGACGGUAACUACCCAGAAAGGGACGGCUAACUACGUG
rnacentral:rRNA from 1 species